CUUUUGUGGUGUCCGCAAUGGCAUAUUAUCUUUAACAAUCAUAAACAUAAGUGCAUCUAGCAUUGUUGGAUAUUUGUGACCAUCUGCUGCAAAUAAGCAAUAUUGAUGGAACAAUGAAUUGCAAUUCCCAUAUGGAAUUUGUGUUCAAGUGUUGGCGAGCGCUUCUAAAGGACUCUUUGGCCAAAAAACUCUGCUGGAGUGGGACAAAGCAAAAAAGGUCUGUACAAGAAUUGUCUUGUAUAUCAGCAAUAAAAGACGCCUUCAUUAAAAAGUAUCCCGAGGAAUCCAUUGACGCUUAUGCCGAAAAAACCAAAAAGUUCUUUUUAUAUGCGAAGGAUAGAGGAAACAAGUUAAAAAAUA